rnacentral:rRNA from 1 species
UACGUAGGGUGCGAGCGUUGUCCGGAUUUACUGGGCGUAAAGAGCUCGUAGGCGGUUUGUCACGUCGUCUGUGAAAACCCGAGGCUUAACCUCGGGCCUGCAGGCGAUACGGGCAGACUUGAGUACUGUAGGGGAGACUGGAAUUCCUGGUGUAGCGGUGAAAUGCGCAGAUAUCAGGAGGAACACCGGUGGCGAAGGCGGGUCUCUGGGCCGAAACUGACGCUGAGGAGCGAAAGCGUGGGGAGCAAACAGG